rnacentral:rRNA from 1 species
CCUACGGGAGGCUGCAGUGAGGAAUAUUGGUCAAUGGCCGGAAGGCUGAACAGCCAAGUCGCGUGAGGGAAGACUGCCCUAUGGGUUGUAAACCUCUUUUGUCAGGGAAGAGUAGAAGACGGUACCUGACGAAUAAGCCACGGCUAACUACGUGCCAGCAGCCGCGGUAAUACGUAGGUGGCAAGCGUUGUCCGGAUUUACUGGGUGUAAAGGGCGUGUAGCCGGGUUGACAAGUCAGAUGUGAAAUCCUGCGGCUUAACCGCAGAACUGCAGUUGAAACUGUUGAUCUUGAGUACUGGAGAGGCAGACGGAAUGCGUAGUGUAGCGGUGAAAUGCGUAGAUAUUAGGAGGAACACCAGUGGCGAAGGCGGUCUGCUGGACAGCAACUGACGGUGAGGCGCGAAAGCGUGGGGAGCAAACAGGAUUAGAUACCCCUGUAGUC